rnacentral:rRNA from 1 species
AGCUGGGUUCAGAACGCUGUGAGGCAGUUUGUUUAAUAUCUACUGGAAAUGUUGGAAAUUUGAAGGGAAGGAUCUUCUAGUACGAGAGGAACGAAGGUUCGGAGCCUCUGGUUUAACGGUUAUCUGAUAAGGUAAGCCGUGCAGCUACGCUCUGGAGGAUAAGUGCUGAAAGCAUCUAAGCACGAAGCCUUCCUUGAAAAGAAAUUUUCCGAACACCUAUAGAACAUGGGUUUGAUGGAUAUGGUGUGUAAGUA